rnacentral:rRNA from 1 species
CCUACGGGAGGCAGCAGUGGGGAAUAUUGGGCAAUGGGCGAAAGCCUGACCCAGCAACGCCGCGUGAAGGAAGAAGGCUUUCGGGUUGUAAACUUCUUUUGACAGGGAAGAGCAGAAGACGGUACCAGUCGAAUAAGCCACGGCUAACUACGUGCCAGCAGCCGCGGUAAUACGUAGGUGGCAAGCGUUGUCCGGAUUUACUGGGUGUAAAGGGCGUGUAGCCGGGCUGACAAGUCAGAUGUGAAAUCCGGGGGCUCAACCCCCGAACUGCAUUUGAAACUGUUGGUCUAGAGUAUCGGAGAGGCAGGCGGAAUUCCUAGUGUAGCGGUGAAAUGCGUAGAUAUUAGGAGGAACACCAGUGGCGAAGGCGGCUUGCUGGGUCGAUACUGACAUUGAGGCACGAAAGCGUGGGGAGCAAACAGGAUUAGAUACCCGAGUAGUC